UACGUAGGGAGCAAGCGUUGUCCGGAAUCAUUGGGCGUAAAGCGCGCGUAGGCGGCCUCAUAAGUCCGUUGUGAAAGUCAAGGGCUCAACCCUUGAAUGCCGGUUGAUACUGUCGGGCUAGAGUCCGGAAGAGGCGAGUGGAAUUCCCGGUGUAGCGGUGAAAUGCGCAGAUAUCGGGAGGAACACCAAUGGCGAAGGCAGCUCGCUGGGACGGUACUGACGCUGAGACGCGAAAAGCGUGGGGGAGCAAACAGGG
rnacentral:rRNA from 1 species